ACCCGCUGAACUUAAGCAUAUCAAUAAGCGGAGGAAAGAUAUUAAGAAUUGAUAAUAUUUGUGAAAUUUACACAGCAAACAAUAAUUUUAUAGUCAAAACAUAAAAAGCAAAACUUUUAACAAUGGAUCUCUUGGUUCUC
rnacentral:rRNA from 1 species